GAGUUUGAUCGUGGCUCAGAUUGAACGCUGGCGGCAUGCCUUACACAUGCAAGUCGAACGGCAGCACGGGAGCUUGCUCCUGGUGGCGAGUGGCGAACGGGUGAGUAAUGCAUCGGAACGUAUCCUGGAGUGGGGGAUAACGUAGCGAAAGUUACGCUAAUACCGCAUAUUCUGUGAGCAGGAAAGCGGGGGACUUUCGGGCCUCGCGCUCUUGGAGCGGCCGAUGUCGGAUUAGCUAGUUGGUGAGGUAAAGGCUCACCAAGGCGACGAUCCGUAGCAGGUCUGAGAGGAUGAUCUGCCACACUGGAACUGAGACACGGUCCAGACUCCUACGGGAGGCAGCAGUGGGGAAUUUUGGACAAUGGGGGCAACCCUGAUCCAGCCAUGCCGCGUGAGUGAAGAAGGCCUCGG
rnacentral:rRNA from 2 species